CCAGUAAACGGCGGCCGUAACUAUAACGGUCCUAAGGUAGCGAAAUUCCUUGUCGGGUAAGUUCCGACCCGCACGAAAGGUGUAACGAUUUGGGCACUGUCUCAACCAGAGACUCGGUGAAAUUAUAGUACCUGUGAAGAUGCAGGUUACCCGCGACAGGACGGAAAGACCCCGUGGAGCUUUACUGUAGCCUGAUAUUGAAUUUUGGUACAUUUUGUACAGGAUAGGCGGGAGCCAUUGAAACCGGAGCGCUAGCUUCGGUGGAGGCGCUGGUGGGAUACCGCCCUGAAUGUAUUGAAAUUCUAACCUACGGGUCUUAUCGACCCGGGAGACAGUGUCAGGUGGGCAGUUUGACUGGGGCGGUCGCCUCCUAAAGUGUAACGGAGGCGCCCAAAGGUUCACUCAGAAUGGUUGGAAAUCAUUCGUAGAGUGCAAAGGCAUAAGGGAGCUUGACUGCGAGACCUACAAGUCGAGCAGGGACGAAAGUCGGGCUUAGUGAUCCGGUGGUUCCGCAUGGAAGGGCCAUCGCUCAACGGAUAAAAGCUACCCCGGGGAUAACAGGCUUAUCUCCCCCAAGAGUCCACAUCGACGGGGAGGUUUGGCACCUCGAUGUCGGCUCAUCGCAUCCUGGGGCUGUAGUCGGUCCCAAGGGUUGGGCUGUUCGCCCAUUAAAGCGGUACGCGAGCUGGGUUCAGAACGUCGUGAGACAGUUCGGUCCCUAUCCGUCGUGGGCGUAGGAAAUUUGAGAGGAGCUGUCCUUAGUACGAGAGGACCGGGAUGGACGCACCGCUGGUGUACCAGUUGUUCUGCCAAGGGCAUAGCUGGGUAGCUAUGUGCGGAAGGGAUAAGUGCUGAAAGCAUCUAAGCAUGAAGCCCCCCUCAAGAUGAGAUUUCCCAUAGCGUAAGCUAGUAAGAUCCCUGAAAGAUGAUCAGGUUGAUAGGUUCGAGGUGGAAGCAUGGUGACAUGUGGAGCUGACGAAUACUAAUAGAUCGAGGACUUAACCAU
rnacentral:rRNA from 1 species